UGAAUCUAUGCCCAAAAUCACGACAUGGUGUCAGAAGUCGGGCGGCAGUAAGAGCUUAAUCGCCGGGGAGUGAAAGUAAGCUGUUCUGGGAGUGAAAAAGAAGGUUUUAUCGGGAGAAAAUAAUGUCGGAUACAGAGGGAGCGGGAGCAAGCGCACCGCAUACGCUGCCUCGCAGGCUAACGCCCCAGCUACAGAUAAACAGCGGCAACAAUGCUAACGCAAAUCCACCCCCGAACGCCACAUUCACCAUACAGCCUCCCGAAGCGUUUGAUUUUUCUAAGCCUCAGCAAUGGGAAAAGUGGAUACGGAGAUUCGAAAGAUUCCGUCUAGCCAGCAAUCUGCAUCUUAGCUCAGAGGCUAACCAGGUAAACACGCUCAUCUACUGUAUGGGGGAUGAAGCGGAUGACAUUCUUCGAGGUCAAGCUUUAUCGGACGUGCAGAGACAACAGUACCAAGCGGUAAGAGACACUUUGGACAUAUAUUUCGUGCCCAGGAAAAACAUUAUCUACGAGAGAGCCCGGUUUAACCAAAGAGUGCAGCUAGUUAAUGAGACUGUUGACUCGUUUGUCACCGCACUUUAUGCUUUGGCGGAAAACUGCAACUACGGUGCACUACACGAUGAGUUAAUAAGAGAUCGCCUCGUCGUGGGACUCAGAGACACUAGCUUAGCUGAGAGAUUACAAAUGGACAAGGAUUUGACGCUGGAGAAGGCAGUAAAUCAAGCCCGGCAGUCUGAAGUCAUAAAAAGGCAACAAACAGACAUUAGAGGAGAGAACAACACGGAAUUAGACGCUGUGUCUGUGAAAUAUAGAAAACAACAGCAUCCAAAACAACAGUAUCCAAAAUACAAGUCCCCAACUCAACCAAAAUUCACAACGAAGUCCAAAACACCAAAUGAGAAAUCCUGCUACAGAUGUGGUAAAACACCUGCACAUGCUAAAGUUCAAUGUCCAGCAAAAGAUGUGACCUGUCAUACUUGUGGUAAAAGAGGACAUUUCAGUAAGGUGUGUAAGUCUGUUAAAUCCGUGCAUGUGAUAGAGACAGAGAAAUAUAAUGACACACCCAUGUUCCUUGGUUCUGUGGACGCAGGUUCAGAUCCUUGGUAUGCAGAUCUUACCAUCAGAAACCACAAAGUCAGAUUUAAGAUAGACACUGGAGCAGAUGUGUCAGUUAUCCCAGCCCAGAUGUACUACAGUAUAAA
ensembl:lncRNA